GAUGAACGCUGGCGGUGUGCCUAAUACAUGCAAGUCGAACGCGUUGGCCCAAUUGAUUGAUGGUGCUUGCACCUGAUUGAUUUUGGUCGCCAACGAGUGGCGGACGGGUGAGUAACACGUAGGUAACCUGCCCAGAAGCGGGGGACAACAUUUGGAAACAGAUGCUAAUACCGCAUAACAACGUUGUUCGCAUGAACAACGCUUAAAAGAUGGCUUCUCGCUAUCACUUCUGGAUGGACCUGCGGUGCAUUAGCUUGUUGGUGGGGUAAUGGCCUACCAAGGCGAUGAUGCAUAGCCGAGUUGAGAGACUGAUCGGCCACAAUGGGACUGAGACACGGCCCAUACUCCUACGGGAGGCAGCAGUAGGGAAUCUUCCACAAUGGGCGCAAGCCUGAUGGAGCAACACCGCGUGAGUGAAGAAGGGUUUCGGCUCGUAAAGCUCUGUUGUUAAAGAAGAACACGUAUGAGAGUAACUGUUCAUACGUUGACGGUAUUUAACCAGAAAGUCACGGCUAACUACGUGCCAGCAGCCGCGGUAAUACGUAGGUGGCAAGCGUUAUCCGGAUUUAUUGGGCGUAAAGAGAGUGCAGGCGGUUUUCUAAGUCUGAUGUGAAAGCCUUCGGCUUAACCGGAGAAGUGCAUCGGAAACUGGAUAACUUGAGUGCAGAAGAGGGUAGUGGAACUCCAUGUGUAGCGGUGGAAUGCGUAGAUAUAUGGAAGAACACCAGUGGCGAAGGCGGCUACCUGGUCUGCAACUGACGCUGAGACUCGAAAGCAUGGGUAGCGAACAGG
rnacentral:rRNA from 1 species